rnacentral:rRNA from 1 species
GAUGAACGCUGGCGGCGUGCCUAAUACAUGCAAGUCGAGCGAACAGACGAGGAGCUUGCUCCUCUGACGUUAGCGGCGGACGGGUGAGUAACACGUGGAUAACCUACCUAUAAGACUGGGAUAACUUCGGGAAACCGGAGCUAAUACCGGAUAAUAUAUUGAACCGCAUGGUUCAAUAGUGAAAGACGGUUUUGCUGUCACUUAUAGAUGGAUCCGCGCCGCAUUAGCUAGUUGGUAAGGUAACGGCUUACCAAGGCAACGAUGCGUAGCCGACCUGAGAGGGUGAUCGGCCACACUGGGACUGAGACACGGUCCAGACUCCUACGGGAGGCAGCAGUAGGGAAUCUUCCGCAAUGGGCGAAAGCGUGACGGAGCAACGCCGCGUGAGUGAUGAAGGUCUUCGGAUCGUAAAACUCUGUUAUUAGGGAAGAACAAAUGUGUAAGUAACUAUGCACGUCUUGACGGUACCUAAUCAGAAAGCCACGGCUAACUACGUG